AGGAAAUAGAUACCCCGGUAGUCCACGCCGUAAACGAUGGAUACUAGCUGUUCGGAGCAAUCUGAGUGGCUAAAGCGAAAAGUGAUAAGUAUCCCACCUGGGGAGUACGCACGCAAGUGUGAAACUCAAAGGAAUUGACGGGGGCCCGCACAAGCGGUGGAGCAUGUGGUUUAAUUCGAUGAUACGCGAGGAACCUUACCAGGGCUUAAAUGUAGAUUGACAGGACUGGAAACAGUUUUUUCUUCGGACAAUUUACAAGGUGCUGCAUGGUUGUCGUCAGCUCGUGCCGUGAGGUGUCAGGUUAAGUCCUAUAACGAGCGCAACCCCUGUCGUUAGUUGCCAGCGAGUCAUGUCGGGAACUCUAACGAGACUGCCAGUGUAAACUGUGAGGAAGGUGGGGAUGACGUCAAAUCAUCACGGCCCUUACGUCCUGGGCCACACACGUGCUACAAUGGUAGGUACAGAGAGCAGCCACUGCGCGAGCAGGAGCGAAUCUACAAAACCUAUCUCAGUUCGGAUCGGAGUCU
rnacentral:rRNA from 1 species